GAUGAACGCUGGCGGCGUGCCUAAUACAUGCAAGUCGAGCGAACGGACGAGAAGCUUGCUUUUCUGAUGUUAGCGGCGGACGGGUGAGUAACACGUGGAUAACCUACCUAUAAGACUGGGAUAACUUCGGGAAACCGGAGCUAAUACCGGAUAAUAUUUUGAACCGCAUGGUUCAAUAGUGAAAGACGGUCUUGCUGUCACUUAUAGAUGGAUCCGCGCCGCAUUAGCUAGUUGGUAAGGUAACGGCUUACCAAGGCAACGAUGCAUAGCCGACCUGAGAGGGUGAUCGGCCACACUGGAACUGAGACACGGUCCAGACUCCUACGGGAGGCAGCAGUAGGGAAUCUUCCGCAAUGGGCGAAAGCCUGACGGAGCAACGCCGCGUGAGUGAUGAAGGUCUUCGGAUCGUAAAACUCUGUUAUUAGGGAAGAACAUAUGUGUAAGUAACUAUGCACAUCUUGACGGUACCUAAUCAGAAAGCCACGGCUAACUACGUG
rnacentral:rRNA from 1 species